AUUGAACGCUGGCGGCAUGCCUUACACAUGCAAGUCGAACGGUAACAGGUCUUCGGAUGCUGACGAGUGGCGAACGGGUGAGUAAUACAUCGGAACGUGCCUAGUAGUGGGGGAUAACUACUCGAAAGAGUGGCUAAUACCGCAUGAGAUCUACGGAUGAAAGCAGGGGAUCGCAAGACCUUGUGCUACUAGAGCGGCCGAUGGCAGAUUAGGUAGUUGGUGGGAUAAAAGCUUCCCAAGCCGACGAUCCAUAGCUGGUCUGAGAGGACAAUCAGCCACACUGGGACUGAGACACGGCCCAGACUCCUACGGGAGGCAGCAGUGGGGAAUUUUGGACAAUGGGCGCAAGCCUGAUCCAGCAAUGCCGCGUGCAGGAUGAAGGCCUUCGGGUUGUAAACUGCUUUUGUACGGAACGAAAAGCCCUGGGUUAAUACCCUGGGGUCAUGACGGUACCGUAAGAAUAAGCACCGGCUAACUACGUGCCAGCCGCCGCAGUAA
rnacentral:rRNA from 1 species